UGCUUGAGCCCAGGAUUUCUGAGCUGUAACACAUUAUGCUUAUAUAGUGUCCACACUAAAUUUGGCAUCAAUAUUGUGACCUCGAGAGCAGAGGACCACCUGGUUGCCUAAGGAGGGGUGAGUUGUCCUAGGUCAGAAACAGAGCAGGUCAAAACUCUCCUACUGAUCAGUAGUGGGACUGCGCUUGUGAAUAGCCAUUGCACUCCAGCCUGCACAAUUUAGCA
ensembl:misc_RNA Metazoa_SRP Metazoan signal recognition particle RNA